GCUAAAAACUUAGCCUUACCCCUACAAUUAUAUUUACCCUAUUUUACUUACACAAAAUAAAACAUUCUUUAAGCUUAGUAAAGGAGAUAAAAAAGUUUUUUAGAGCUAUAAAAUAAGUACCGCAAGGGAAAAAUGAAAUAAAAAUGAAACAAAAUUCAAGCAUAAUAUAGUAGAGUUUUCCCCUCGUACCUUUUGCAUCAUGAUUCAACUAGUUUAACCACGCAAAAAGAAUUUAAGUUUGACUUCCCGAAACUAAGUGAGCUACUUCAGGGCAGCUAAAUGAGCCAACCCGUCUCUGUUGCAAAAGAGUGGGAUGACCCUUAAGUAGAGGUGAUAAACCUAACGAACUUAGUGAUAGCUGGUUAUUCAGGAAAAGAAUUUUAGUUCAACUUAAAAUUACAUAAAUAAAAUAAAAUAAAAUUUUAAUUUUAAAGCAAUUCAAAUAAGGUACAGCCUAUUUGAAAUAGAAUACAAUCUAAACUAUAGGGUAAAUAUAAAAAAUUAAUGUAAUAAAGUAGGCCUAAAAGCAGCCAACUUUAAAAUAGCGUCAAAGCUUACUUCCAUAAUUUUUUAAUACUAUUAUUUACAAUGAACCCUUUAUUUUUACUGAAUAUUUCUAUAAAGUUAUAGAACCUUUUAUGUUGAAACUAGUAACAAGAAGUUAAACUUCUCCUCAAUAUAAGUAUAAGUCGACUAGGAUAAACCAUCGACAAUUAACGCUUAAAUUAAAUGUAUUAACUCCACAAGAAAAACUUACAUUACCCCACGUUAAUCUUACACCAG
rnacentral:rRNA from 1 species